rnacentral:rRNA from 1 species
CCUACGGGAGGCAGCAGUGAGGAAUAUUGGUCAAUGGACGAGAGUCUGAACCAGCCAAGUAGCGUGAAGGAUGACUGCCCUAUGGGUUGUAAACUUCUUUUAUAUGGGAAUAAAAUGUUCCACGUGUGGGAUUUUGUAUGUACCAUAUGAAUAAGGAUCGGCUAACUCCGUGCCAGCAGCAGCGGUAAUACGGAGGAUCCGAGCGUUAUCCGGAUUUAUUGGGUUUAAAGGGAGCGUAGGUGGAUUGUAAAGUCAGUUGUGAAAGUUUGCGGCUCAACCGUAAAAUUGCAGUUGAAACUGGCAGUCUUGAGUACAGUAGAGGUGGGCGGAAUUCGUGGUGUAGCGGUGAAAUGCUUAGAUAUCACGAAGAACUCCGAUUGCGAAGGCAGUUCACUGGACUGCAACUGACACUGAGGCUCGAAAGUGUGGGUAUCAAACAGGAUUAGAUACCCGUGUAGUC